rnacentral:misc_RNA from 1 species
UCAUGAUGGUGAUGCUCGUGUUCAUCAUGGUCAUGGUCGUGAUGAUGAUGCUCAUGAUCAUCAUGCUCAUGAUCGUGAUGAUGUUCAUGCUCAUCAUGG